AACGAACGCUGGCGGCAGGCUUAACACAUGCAAGUCGAGCGCCCCGCAAGGGGAGCGGCAGACGGGUGAGUAACGCGUGGGAAUCGACCCAUCUCUACGGAAUAACGCAUGGAAACGUGUGCUAAUACCGGACACGUCCUUCGGGAGAAAGAUUUAUCGGAGAUGGAUGAGCCCGCGUUGGAUUAGCUAGUUGGUGGGGUAAAGGCCUACCAAGGCGACGAUCCAUAGCUGGUCUGAGAGGAUGAUCAGCCACACUGGGACUGAGACACGGCCCAGACUCCUACGGGAGGCAGCAGUGGGGAAUAUUGGACAAUGGGCGCAAGCCUGAUCCAGCCAUGCCGCGUGAGUGAUGAAGGCCCUAGGGUUGUAAAGCUCUUUCACCGGUGAAGAUAAUGACGGUAACCGGAGAAGAAGCCCCGGCUAACUUCGUGCCAGCCGCCGCGGUAAUAC
rnacentral:rRNA from 1 species